AUUGUAUUUGCCCUUGAAGACACAACUCAAGUUCUUUUUACCCCUGGCAAGCCUUUUACCUGCAAGUCGAGGGGUGAUCAAUGGCACCAAAUAAAUAUGGGAUGGACCAAACCAGGAUUUGAACCUAGGUCCCCUGAAUCACUAGUGUAAGUUUCUUUUUAAAAGGAAUAACAUUUUAAUACACAUAGUAAAUUAGAAUUUCAUUUUUUUCAGGAAAUGGAUAAAAAAUUGGUAUGUGUCGAGCAACUAUAGCCACCUGAUAGAAGGGUAAAUUAGAAAGUUCAGAUUACAUUAUGCCAACAGAGAUGAUAACAAUGCCAACCAAGCUAAAAGUUGUCCAGGAAAACUUUUGUAUUGGAGACAAGACAAGUUAAUGACUUAAUGAUAGACUCACUGCAGAGAGAGAUGUUGGAAAAGUGGAUUUUGUUAACAAAAGGAAGAUAAGAUCAAGGCUGCCAACCUUUGAGAGAUACACUUCAAAAAGAGUGUUUAAAUUCAAGAAAUUCAGUCACAGUACUCUGUAAAUAUUAUAAAGUAAAAGUUAUUUAUUUAAUUUGGAAAAGCAUUUGAGGAUGUGAAAAAGACUUUGUCCAUUUCAAGCUAUCUGUUGUCAAGUACCAGGAAUAUGUGGAUUUUAUUCAACAACUUUAUUAUGAAUUUGAAUAGCAACUUUCAAUAUCUGGAAGCUUUUUUUAUCAGUAGGGAUGUAGAUGUGAAAUUAUAUAAAAGUUAUUUUUUAAAAGAUAUUAAUCAAGAAAAUUUUUGUAGAUUAAUAACAGGUAAAAUUUGUAAUGAUAGAUCUUUUAUUGAUCAUUUGCAGUAGUAAGCGACAGUUGUUAUAAUUAUACCCCCACUCUGAAGUAGGGGGGUAUACUCAUUUACCCUUGUGUGUCUGUCUGUGUGUCUGUCUGUAACAAUUUUUUGUCGCAGUUUUCUCAGCAACUACUCAUCAAAGAUGCUUGAAAUUUUGACACUCUCUUUGACUAGGCAUGCCAUAUUGUGGGAUUCAUGAGAGUGUAUAUUCACAUCAGAGCGGGGGUAUUACUAGUGAGCAUUGGCUCACAGACUUCCUGUUUGCUGAAGUUUGUGUUUGACUUUCAUGUCUUUAACAUGAUAUGGCUUAAGGAUAUGCACAGUAUAGUUUGAACUAUAUUUUCUUAUUCUCUCUAUAAUUUAAGAAAUCCAGUAAUUGAAAGAUCUUUGUGCAAUUUUAUGAUACCUGGUAAUGCUUGCACACCUUAUCUGAAUCAAAUUUUGAGAAAAUACCACAUAAAACAUUUUUUUUGGGGGGGGGGGAUUUUUCUUUUAAAAAAUGCAAGGGUUUUCAUCAUUUGAUAUUUUUUUUAAAUUCCUGAUACAUGUAAUGUAUGCUGAUUUUUUUGUCAAAGAACACCUAAUGGUAUCGUGAUUUUCAAUUAUAUUUUCUCUGAAAAUUAUCAGUUGGAAGGUUCACUGUAAAGUGCAUGUACAUUGCAUAUGACCUUAAAAAUACUGUGGUGGCAAAAGACAAGAAAUUUUUUUUUUUUUUUCAGUUUUGGUACAUGUACUAUAUUAUUAUUUCGUUAACCUGUCAAUUUUAGAUCAAAUGAAUAAAGGUUAAAAACUAUUA